rnacentral:rRNA from 1 species
UACGAAGGGGGCUAGCGUUGCUCGGAAUUACUGGGCGUAAAGGGAGCGUAGGCGGAUAGUUUAGUCAGAGGUGAAAGCCCCAGGGCUCAACCUUGGAAUUGCCUUUGAUACUGGCUAUCUUGAGUACGGAAGAGGUAUGUGGAACUCCGAGUGUAGAGGUGAAAUUCGUAGAUAUUCGGAAGAACACCAGUGGCGAAGGCGACAUACUGGUCCGUUACUGACGCUGAGGCUCGAAAGCGUGGGGAGCGAACAGG